CUCCUGGGGCGAGGCCGCCACAGGUGCCUUCGGGUCAAACCCGAGGCUCUUCCCACCCCCCCGCUAAGGGCCUUCCCAGUUUGUCAAACCCUUCAAACUACUGCCUCAGUAGCGUGAGGUCGGGGCUGGGGGCGGGUUGGAGAGAGUCGGGGUCCCCUGGAGGUAGGGAGAGAAACAGAGGGCGCCCAGCGGCCGGGGGAUGCAGGCGAGCGAAUGAAAGUCGAAGGGGAGUCAGCUCGAAUCUGAGGGUGAUGUUAACACGCCGAGAGGCGCAGCAUAUGGUUUCCAUGUUGGGCAGCGGAUACAAAGAACGGCUUUGGGCCGGGGGAGUCUCCUGACACUAAACCGCAACAAUCCCGACUUAGUGAGGCCUGAGUGGCAGGAGGCUGGAUUUUUGGUUGAGUUGCAAUUAAAGGGAGAUAUUAUGCCGAGCCUUUCAGCUUAUUAAUAUUUAUAACCUGGAGCGACAAGACCUUCGCUCCCUUGAGGCAGAUUUUUCAGGCCCAGGCGCGGAGCCGGUUGUCUCCGGGGCCAGGGGCUUCGCCAGUGACCGGGGAGGAGAAAGUGUGACGAGUAAAAGGGGAAUCAUCUGCCUUCUGCGUUUCUCCUAAUUACGUGACCGGUGGAAAUCCGGCCGGGAGGAGCCGCAGUCCGGUCAUCCCGAAGGCGGCCGCGCAGGGCUCCGCACCUCGCAGGGCCUCCCGCCUAGCGUUUUUAACUGCUCUGGGCAGCGAGUGUUUCGGAAGGAAGCCGGAGCCUGCGGGGCGAGGGCGAGGAGGAGUAAAACGCAGCCUGGCUUUGGAACGGUUCAUCAAAAACGCCCACGUCCGGCCUCUGUCUCCAAUCUGCGGGGCUCUGCGCUGCGGUUCCUCCCCCGGGCGGGGUUCCAGAGUGUCGGCGAAGCCCCAGCCAGCGAGGGGGGCUCUCUGCGUUCCGCGUAGCACCCGGGCCUGGGAAACGCGCAGGAUCGGCGGGGAAGCAGGGGUUGGUUGUCCCGGCGGAUCUCGCGUGGGCCUCCACCAAGGGCGUCUGGCUCCGCCAUCAGGCAAUGCUUACGAAGCGUUUGCACUGCGUCCUUCACGCCGCGUCUGAUUUCUGCUUUCUCUGCACAA
rnacentral:lncRNA from 1 species